GGGCUCUUUUGGGUCCUAUAAUUGGAAUGAGUACAAUUUAAAUCCCUUAACGAGGAUCAAUUGGAGGGCAAGUCUGGUGCCAGCAGCCGCGGUAAUUCCAGCUCCAAUAGCGUAUAUUAAAGUUGUUGCCGUUAAAAAGCUCGUAGUCGAACUUCGGCCUCUGCCGCCCGGUCCGCCUAAUUGGGUGUGUACUGGAGCGGUGGAGGCUUACCUCGUGGUGAACGGCCAUGCCCUUUACUGGGUGUGGUCGGGAACCAUGACCUUUACUGUGAAAAAAUUAGAGUGUUCAAAGCAGGCUUACGCCCGAAUACAUUAGCAUGGAAUAAUAAAAUAGGACGUGCGGUCCUAUUUUGUUGGUUUCUAGGAUCGCCGUAAUGAUUAAUAGGGAUAGUUGGGGGCAUUCGUAUUCAAUUGUCAGAGGUGAAAUUCUUGGAUUUAUUGAAGACGAACUACUGCGAAAGCAUUUGCCAAGGAUGUUUUCAUUGAUCAAGAACGAAGGUUAGGGGAUCGAAAACGAUCAGAUACCGUUGUAGUCUUAACAGUAAACGAUGCCGACUAGGGAUCGGAUGAGGCUUUUAAUGACUCAUUCGGCACCUGAAGAGAAAUCUUUAAGUCAGGUUCGGGGGGGAGUAUGGUCGCAAGGCUGAAACUUAAAGGAAUUGACGGAAGGGCACCACCAGGUGUGGAGCCUGCGGCUUAAUUUGACUCAACACGGGGAAACUCACCAGGUCCAGACACGACAAGGAUUGACAGAUUGAUAGCUCUUUCUUGAUUUCGUGGUUGGUGGUGCAUGGCCGUUCUUAGUUGGUGGAGUGAUUUGUCUGGUUAAUUCCGAUAACGAACGAGACCUUAACCUGCUAAAUAGCCCGGCCGACUUUGGUUGGUCGCUGGCUUCUUAGAGGGACUAUCGACGUCUAGUCGAUGGAAGUUUGAGGCAAUA
rnacentral:rRNA from 1 species